rnacentral:rRNA from 1 species
CAUAAGCGGAGGAAAAGAAACCAACAGGGAUUGCCCCAGUAGCGGCGAGUGAAGCGGCAAGAGCUCAGAUUUGAAAUCGUGUUUCGGCACGAGUUGUAGAGUGUAGGCGGGAGUCUCUGUGGAGCGCGGUGUCCAAGUCCCUUGGAACAGGGUGCCUGAGAGGGUGAGAGCCCCGUAGGGUGCUGCGCGAAGCUUUUGAGGCCCUGCUGACGAGUCGAGUUGUUUGGGAAUGCAGCUCCAAGCGGGUGGUAAAUUCCAUCUAAGGCUAAAUAUUGGCGAGAGACCGAUAGCGAACAAGUACUGUGAAGGAAAGAUGAAAAGCACUUUGAAAAGAGAGUGAAACAGCACGUGAAAUUGUUGAAAGGGAAGGGUAUUGGGCUCGACAUGGGGGGUGCGCACCGCUGUCUCUUGUAGGCGGCGCUCUGGGCGCCCUCUGGGCCAGCAUCGGUUCCUGCUGCGGGAGAAGGGGCUCCGGAAAGUGGCUCUUCGGAGUGUUAUAGCCGGGGCCAGAUGCCGCGUGUGGGGACCGAGGACUGCGGCUUCUGUCUCGGAUGCUGGCAUAAUGCAGAGGAC